rnacentral:lncRNA from 10 species
GUGCUGUCGUGGUAAGAGUGAGUCAUCUCCGGAUCUGGUGGUUUAGGAGUGUGUGGCACCUCCCCCUUCUCUUCCUGCUGCUCCAGGCAUGAGAAGUGCUCGCUCCCUCUUUGCCUUCCGCCACGUUUAAUGAGUCGCAUGGCUUCACACAGGUGUCAAGGAGCCUGGCAAGCUCCCUGCUGGGAGCCAUUUACCAGCUGCAACUCCACCCUACGGAAGAGAGAGUAGGCAUCUGGGUGGACAAUGAGUUGUUCCUGCCACCAGGAUCUUAUGUUUAUUCACUGCCAUGAUGACCUGAAUUAUUUUGGAUAGAAGACACUUCAGGAUUCAAUAGGAAGGAUCAGUGAGGCAACAGGAGUGGCGGCAGAGAAAGAACCACUAUGAAGUUUAAAGAGACACUUAGAAACAGAAUGGUCAUGAACAACGCCCAUAUAUGUUUUUUCAUUCCUUUAUUUUCAACCUCUCUGAAUCAACAUUGGAUUUUGAAGCCCCAUCUGAGUAUUUGCCAUUUAUCAGUGAUUUUCAGCCAUGACUCUGGAGAGCUGAAGGUGUUAACACCACAAAGGGAUGAUAACAGAGGAGGCCUCAUGGAGAGCCAGGACUUUCACCACUGCCCAGUGGAACGAGGCCACCUCUCCCAAGUGUCAUCGGAGGCCUUGUGGAGAGCAGUAAAGAAGUGUUUCUGCCCCUCCCAGCCAGAGUGGUAUCAGCAGAGGCCCAGGAAGAAGCCAGAACCCCACCCCCACCCAACAGUAAGAAGUAGGCAGCUCUCCACAAGUGGAGAAUUGAGCC